CCUACGGGAGGCAGCAGUGGGGAAUUUUGGACAAUGGGCGAAAGCCUGAUCCAGCAAUGCCGCGUGCAGGAAGAAGGCCUUCGGGUUGUAAACUGCUUUUGUACGGAACGAAACGGUCUGCUUUAAUACAGUGGGCUAAUGACGGUACCGUAAGAAUAAGCACCGGCUAACUACGUGCCAGCAGCCGCGGUAAUACGUAGGGUGCGAGCGUUAAUCGGAAUUACUGGGCGUAAAGCGUGCGCAGGCGGUUAUAUAAGACAGUUGUGAAAUCCCCGGGCUCAACCUGGGAAUUGCAUCUGUGACUGUAUAGCUAGAGUACGGUAGAGGGGGAUGGAAUUCCGCGUGUAGCAGUGAAAUGCGUAGAUAUGCGGAGGAACACCGAUGGCGAAGGCAAUCCCCUGGACCUGUACUGACGCUCAUGCACGAAAGCGUGGGGAGCAAACAGGAUUAGAUACCCUGGUAGUCCACGCCCUAAACGAUGUCAACUGGUUGUUGGGUGCAUUAGUACUCAGUAACGAAGCUAACGCGUGAAGUUGACCGCCNGGGGAGUACGGCCGCAAGGUUGAAACUUAAAUGAAUUGACGG
rnacentral:rRNA from 1 species